rnacentral:rRNA from 1 species
UACGUAGGGUGCAAGCGUUAAUCGGAAUUACUGGGCGUAAAGCGUGCGCAGGCGGCUUUGCAAGACAGAUGUGAAAUCCCCGGGCUUAACCUGGGAACUGCAUUUGUGACUGCAAGGCUAGAGUACGGUAGAGGGGGAUGGAAUUCCGCGUGUAGCAGUGAAAUGCGUAGAUAUGCGGAGGAACACCGAUGGCGAAGGCAAUCCCCUGGUCCGAUUCUGACGCUGAGACGCGAAAGCGCGGGGAGCGAACAGG